rnacentral:rRNA from 1 species
GAUGAACGCUGGCGGCGUGCCUAAUACAUGCAAGUCGAGCGAACAGACGAGGAGCUUGUUCCUUUGACGUUAGCGGCGGACGGGCGAGUAACACGUGGAUAACCUACCUAUAAGACUGGGAUAACUUCGGGAAACCGGAGCCAAUACUGGAUAAUAUAUUGAACGGCUUGGUUCAAUAGAGAAAGACGGUUUUGCUGUUUGUUAUAGAUGGAUCCGCGUCGCAUUAGCUAGUUGGUAAGGUAACGGCUUAGCAAGGCUACGAUGCGUAGCCGAGCUGAGAGGAUGAUCAGCCACACUGGAACUGAGACACGGUCCAGACUCCUACGGGGGGCAGCAGUGGGGAAUCUUCCACAAUGGGCGAAAGCCUGACGGAGCAACGCCGCGUGAGUGAUGAAGGUCUUCGGAUCGUAAAACUCUGUUAUUAGGAAAGAACAAAUGUAUAAGUAACUAUGCACGUCUUGACGGUACCUAAUCAGAAAGCCACGGCUAACUACGUG